rnacentral:rRNA from 1 species
UUUAGCGGAGAGUUUGAUCCUGGCUCAGGAUGAACGUUGGCGGCGUGCCUAAUACAUGCAAGUCGAACGGAGAUUGUAGCAAUACGGUCUCAGUGGCGAACGGGUGAGUAACGCGUUGGUGACCUGCCCCGAAGUGUGGAAUAACAGAUCGAAAGAGCUGCUAAUACCGCAUAAUAUCCAGGAGAUUAGAUGCUUCUGGAUUAAAGGAUUUAUCCGCUUCGG